rnacentral:rRNA from 1 species
UGCUGCAUGGUUGUCGUCAGCUCGUGCCGUGAGGUGUCGGGUUAAGUCCCAUUAACGAGCGCAACCCUUAUCGUUAGUUGCCAUCUGGUAAUGCAGGGGACUCUAGCGAAACUGCCACCGUAAGGUGAGAGGAAGGUGGGAUGACGUCAAAUCAGCACGGCCCUUAUGUCCAGGGCUACACACGUGCUACAAUGGUCGGUACAGAGGGCAGCUACCUGGUGACAGGGAUGCUAAUCUCGAAAACCGGUCUCAGUUCGGAUCGAAGUCUGCAACUCGACUUCGUGAAGCUGGAUUCGCUAGUAAUCGCGCAUCAGCUAUGGCGCGGUGAAUACGUUCCCGGGCCUU